AUAUAUGGCCAUACCACCCUGAACGCGCCGGAUCUCAUCUGAUCUCGGAAGCUAAGCAGGGUCGGACCCGGUUAGUACUUGGAUGGGAAAAUACUACAACCUAUUCUCUAGUUUUACAUCAAGUUUCCAGAAAUA
rnacentral:rRNA from 1 species